AUUGAACGCUGGCGGCAUGCCUUACACAUGCAAGUCGAACGGCAGCACGGGUGCUUGCACCUGGUGGCGAGUGGCGAACGGGUGAGUAAUACAUCGGAACAUGUCCUGUAGUGGGGGAUAGCCCGGCGAAAGCCGGAUUAAUACCGCAUACGAUCCACGGAUGAAAGCGGGGGACCUUCGGGCCUCGCGCUAUAGGGUUGGCCGAUGGCUGAUUAGCUAGUUGGCGGGGUAAAGGCCUACCAAGGCGACGAUCAGUAGCUGGUCUGAGAGGACGACCAGCCACACUGGGACUGAGACACGGCCCAGACUCCUACGGGAGGCAGCAGUGGGGAAUUUUGGACAAUGGGCGAAAGCCUGAUCCAGCAAUGCCGCGUGUGUGAAGAAGGCCUUCGGGUUGUAAAGCACUUUUGUCCGGAAAGAAAUCCUUGACUCUAAUACAGUCGGGGGAUGACGGUACCGGAAGAAUAAGCACCGGCUAACUACGUG
rnacentral:rRNA from 1 species